rnacentral:lncRNA from 1 species
AUCAGAUUGUUAAUCAAAGUGUCAAAAAUCAGUAUACAAAAUAGCAAAGUUCAGUAACAAAUUAGAAAUGCCCUUUCUGCUGAACACGAACUUAGAUUCUCCUCCCAAAUCAAUUGCUCCUUUCACACAUGAAGAAUCCUAAUUUUACCUCUACCAAGCUUCUUCCCCAAAUCAAUUGAUCCUCAAGGUUCACUUAAAGAACCCUAACCCCCAAAAUGGAUUCGCGAAGUAUGUGAACAAAGAAUCGACCAUUUUUCUCGGUUGCGAUCCCAACUUUAGCUCAAGCACCUCAACCCCCAAAAUCAAAUCGAAAGUCUGUGAACAAACAAUAGGCCAUUCUUCUAUGUUGCGAUGCUCAACUUCACCUCAAGAACCCUAACCCUCAAUUGAAUCGCUAAGUAUGUGAGCCAACAAUCUACAAUUGUGUUUUACACACUUGAAAGCGUACACAUGAACGGUUCUAAAAAAGGUAAUUCUGCCAUUUUAGUGGGCCUAGAAAAUUUUUAUUUUUUUUUAAAUUUUUUUGCCUCUGUUUUGGAAUUUUAGAUAAAUUACCUCAUUUUUGGCUUAGUUGUAAUUUAAAACAUGAUUAUAUUUCUAGGUUCUCAUUUCUAUGCUUUUUUUAUUACGUAAUAACUCGACCUGAAAAAAUUGAAGUUGUGUGAUAACUUACUUGGAAAAGUUUCUGCAAUGUUUAAUUGAUGUGAAACCAACCACUUAAUGUUGAGUCUGUGAAACUUUAAUCGAAAAUGCAUGAUUUUUGGAUUCAAAAACAAACGCUUGUUAACAAUUUUCACAUUUAGCAUCUUAAACGCGAGACGGUGAAAUAGCAGUACAUUUUGAAUGUUAAAGUUGAAUAUUUUCUUCUUCAUAUGUUACUGUCCUAAUGUUAAUGAGCUACAAUUUUAUGGCAGUGUGUGGAUGAUCCGGACUUCAUCGAUUCUGAGAUCGAUUUGGGGUCUGAUUGAGGCGACAAUGAAUAUGACAGAAAUGUGACCGAUAAGAUAGAAAUGGGAAUGGUUGGCCGUGAAGAUCAAGUGCAUAUGGAGAUUUAGCCUCAGAUUGUUUAUAAUAUAUUUUUCUCACUCUUCUUUUUAAUCGCACAUUCUCCAAUAAAAUAAUAUUACACAUAAAUCAAAAACUUUUCGUUUUUUUUCAACCACAUGUUCUCCAAAAAAAAAAUUAUAUUAUCAAAUAAUGGAGGCCAAACUAGGGCUUAACAGUCUUCCGUUGUUCUUGCUGUGACAGAAUAAAUUAUGCCGGCUGAUAUUAGAUGUUUCUAAUCUUGAUGAACUUGUUCACAAGUAUUGGCUACAGGGGCAUUGUUGACUCUGGUCUCGCAUAUGCCAUUUUAUUUCUUAUUUUCAGUUUAUUCUUUUG